rnacentral:rRNA from 1 species
UACGUAGGCAGCGAGCGUUGUUCGGAGUUACUGGGCGUAAAGCGUGCGUAGGCGGUGACUUAAGUUUGUUGUGAAAUCUCCCGGCUUAACCGGGAGGGUGCGGCGAAUACUGAGAUGCUGGAGUGCCGGAGAGGUAAGCGGAAUUCCUGGUGUAGCGGUGAAAUGCGUAGAUAUCAGGAGGAACACCUGCGGUGUAGACGGCUUACUGGACGGUAACUGACGCUGAGGCACGAAAGCGUGGGUAGCAAACAGG